rnacentral:rRNA from 1 species
UGGGGAAUUUUGGACAAUGGGCGAAAGCCUGAUCCAGCAAUGCCGCAUGUGUGAAGAAGGCCUUCGGGUUGUAAAGCACUUUUGUCCGGAAAGAAAUGGCUCUGGUUAAUACCUGGGGUCGAUGACGGUACCGGAAGAAUAAGGACCGGCUAACUACGUGCCAGCAGCCGCGGUAAUACGUAGGGUCCAAGCGUUAAUCGGAAUUACUGGGCGUAAAGCGUGCGCAGGCGGUUGUGCAAGACCGAUGUGAAAUCCCCGAGCUUAACUUGGGAAUUGCAUUGGUGACUGCACGGCUAGAGUGUGUCAGAGGGGGGUAGAAUUCCACGUGUAGCAGUGAAAUGCGUAGAGAUGUGGAGGAAUACCGAUGGCGAAGGCAGCCCCCUGGGAUAACACUGACGCUCAUGCACGAAAGCGUGGGGAGCAAACAGG